rnacentral:rRNA from 1 species
UGCCAGCAGCCGCGGUAAUACGGGGGGUGCAAGCGUUAUUCGGAAUUACUGGGCGUAAAGAGCGCGUAGGCGGUCUCUUAAGUCGGAUGUGAAAGCCCGGGGCUUAACCCCGGAAGUGCAUUCGAAACUAAGGGACUUGAGUAUGGGAGAGGGAAGUGGAAUUCCUGGUGUAGCGGUGAAAUGCGUAGAUAUCAGGAGGAACACCGGUGGCGAAGGCGACUUCCUGGACCAAUACUGACGCUGAGGCGCGAAGGCGUGGGGAGCAAACAGGAUUAGAUA